rnacentral:snRNA from 1 species
AGUGCUGAGUGUGUGUGCUGAGA